rnacentral:rRNA from 1 species
UACGUAGGGUACGAGCGUUGUCCGGAAUUAUUGGGCGUAAAGAGCUCGUAGGCGGCCUGUUGCGUCGGUUGUGAAAGCCCGGGGCUUAACCCCGGGUCUGCAGUCGAUACGGGCAGGCUAGAGUUCGGUAGGGGAGAUCGGAAUUCCUGGUGUAGCGGUGAAAUGCGCAGAUAUCAGGAGGAACACCGGUGGCGAAGGCGGAUCUCUGGGCCGAUACUGACGCUGAGGAGCGAAAGCGUGGGGAGCGAACAGG